UACAGAGGGGGCUAGCGUUGUUCGGAAUUACUGGGCGUAAAGGGUGCGUAGGCGGCCUGCCAAGUCAGGCGUGAAAUCCCGGGGCUUAACCUCGGAAUUGCACUUGAAACUAGCAGGAUUGAGGACGAGAGAGGAUAGUGGAAUUCCUAGUGUAGGAGUGAAAUCCGUAGAUAUUAGGAGGAACACCAGUGGCGAAGGCGGCUAUCUGGCUCGUAUCUGACGCUGAGGCACGAAAGCGUGGGGAUCAAACAGG
rnacentral:rRNA from 1 species